GAAGCUGACCAUUGUUGGAGUUGAACCUCCUAUUCUCUUUCUCCUCUUUCCUUUCUUCUUCCUUCUUCUCAUUUAGAGGAAAAAUUGCUCUCUUCCUCCUUUUUCUUCAUUCAGAUCUAUCCUUCUUCUUCGCUAAAUCUCCAUUUCAUCUUUCUUCUCUUUUAUUGAAGAAAAAAAAUUGUGAAUGACGAAGGUGUUAUUGAUUCUGACAUUGCCGAGCUGAGGGGUUAUUGUGAUUUUUUGUGUUUGUUUGAUGGGCAAUACAUGCCGUGGAUCUAUUGGAGGCAAAACUUUUCAGGGCUACAAUCAGCCUGAAGAUAGUUCCUGCUCCACCAAUCACAACCCUUCUUCCGGCAAUUCUUAUUCUUCUUCUGACAAUUUUUCUCCCACUAGCAACGCUCAACAGAAUAGUAAUCACAAGAAGGAGCAUUCUUUGUCUCUUGUUAGUCCCAGAAAAGCUAGCAUGAAUCGUUCAGGGAGUAAUCAGGCUUAUUACGUAAUGGGUCAUAAGACCCAGAAUAUUCGCGAUCUUUAUACUUUGGGAAGGAAGUUAGGACAAGGGCAGUUCGGGACUACUUAUUUAUGUACAGAAAUUUCUACCGGUGCUGAGUAUGCCUGUAAAUCAAUCUCGAAAAGGAAGUUGAUUUCGAAGGAGGAUAUUGACGAUGUUAGAAGGGAAAUUCAGAUAAUGCAUCAUUUGGCAGGUCAUAGGAAUAUUGUUACGAUUAAAGGGGCUUAUGAGGAUCCUUUAUAUGUUCAUAUUGUCAUGGAGAUAUGUAGUGGGGGUGAGUUGUUUGAUCGGAUCAUACAACGAGGACAUUACAGUGAGAGAAAGGCAGCUGAAUUGACUAAAAUUAUUGUUGGAGUUGUGGAGGCGUGUCAUUCUCUUGGUGUUAUGCAUAGAGAUCUCAAACCUGAGAAUUUCUUGUUGGUUAAUAAGGAUGAUGAUUUCUCUCUAAAGGCCAUUGAUUUUGGACUCUCUAUUUUCUUUAAGCCAGGACAAAUAUUCACAGAUGUUGUUGGUAGUCCAUAUUAUGUGGCUCCUGAGGUGCUUUUGAAGCAUUAUGGUCCUGAAGCUGAUGUGUGGACAGCAGGAGUCAUACUCUACAUACUGCUAAGUGGUGUGCCACCAUUUUGGGCUGAAACACAGCAGGGAAUAUUUGACGCAGUUCUGAAAGGACACAUUGAUUUUGACUCAGAUCCUUGGCCGUUGAUAUCUGAGAGUGCAAAAGAUCUUAUCCGGAAGAUGUUGUGCAUGCAGCCCUCAGAGCGGUUAACUGCUCAUGAAGUAUUGUGUCAUCCUUGGAUUUGCGAAAAUGGUGUCGCUCCUGAUAGAGCACUGGAUCCUGCAGUACUUUCUCGCCUAAAACAGUUCUCUGCUAUGAACAAGUUAAAAAAGAUGGCUUUGCGGGUGAUUGCUGAAAGCUUGUCUGAAGAAGAGAUUGCUGGUCUGAGAGAGAUGUUUAAGGCCAUGGAUACUGACAGUAGUGGUGCAAUUACAUUUGAUGAACUAAAAGCAGGGUUGAGAAAAUAUGGCUCUACCUUAAAGGAUACGGAGAUACGGGAACUUAUGGAUGCGGCUGAUGUGGACAAUAGUGGAACUAUUGACUAUGGAGAAUUCAUUGCGGCAACUGUUCAUCUUAAUAAAUUGGAGCGCGAGGAACAUCUCAUGGCAGCAUUUCAAUAUUUUGACAAGGAUGGAAGUGGUUACAUAACAGUUGAUGAGGUCCAGCAAGCUUGUAUAGAGCAUAACAUGACAGAUGUUUACUUUGAGGAUAUUAUAAGAGAAGUCGAUCAGGAUAAUGAUGGACGAAUUGAUUAUGGAGAAUUUGUUGCUAUGAUGCAAAAAGGAAAUCCAUGUAUAGGGAGACGAACAAUGCGAAAUAGUCUGAAUUUGAGCAUGAGAGAUGCACCGGGAGCUCAGUAGUAGCUUCUCAGACAGACAUCUCUAGUAGAUUUGCAACUUAACAUGCUUGGUGGAGCAUUCAUGAGGUAUGAAUGAGAAUUUGGGACACCCAGGUGGUACAGAGUUUAUAUUGGGGAAGGCAUCACAAAACUUGGUGGUUUGGUGAACAGACUAUGUUUGAUCUUGAAGAUCUGCUCGUGAAUAUGCUAUCAAAAUGUAUGAUGUUUGCAGGUUGUACAGAAAAGAGGCCAGGGCAAUAGACUUUCAUCCAGUACCUUCGAGUUUGCUAGAAGAGGAUGAGUGAAAGACCCUAUCGGACAGCUCUAUGCUUCCACGAUUUGUUGUGAGCUUUAUAUUUAGUUUUUAGUGUUGAAAAUGUUCCCACUAAUGUGUUCAAAUUAGUUGUGUUCUUUAGUCGAGGCUUCCUUCUUGUUUCAAAUUGUUAAUUUAUGUUGUUUUAUCAUAUGAUGUUUUAUUCCAUGAAUGAUUCUUCGCUUUUCUACUCAUGAUAAUUUAUGCUAUUUAUUUU